GGCCUAUAUUUUUGCACCCAUUCAAAGAUUACUUAUGCUACAAAAUUUCUUGAUGUAUAAUAGUGAUAAUUUGGGUAAUUAUUAAAGCUAUGCCUAAAUUUGAGAUUAUGAUUCCAAGGGGGGACAUCGUUGGAUUAACAAGUUCCCUUUAUAACAGACCAGAUGAACUGUCUCCCACUCCAUGCCUGGUUUAACUGGUUAAAGAUGGGUAUCAUGUCACCUUGCUUACCAAAUAUUGCACUUGAACUUGAUCUAUUCUUUUCUUUUCAUUCUUUUGGUUUUUAUUUAAAAAAAGCUGGUGGGCAGUUUUUCUCUUGCUUAUUAUGAAUAUGGAGAUUAGAAAAGGAUGUCCACUCUCUCUUAUAGUUCAAUGAUAAUGUAUGUGGUAGUUUCUUUGUUUUCUUGUUUGUUGAAUAGGGAAAUAAAAAGAAAGCAAAAAGCAGGUACAAGACACCAUUGGAGGGGUUUCAAAGAGGUAUAAUGGUGCCAGAAUAUGAUUCAUCAGCAAGAAUCCGGAUCUUUGCUUAACUAGAAAAGUUGAUGUGGAGAGUUUGGG
rnacentral:lncRNA from 1 species